rnacentral:rRNA from 1 species
GAUGAACGCUGGCGGCGUGCCUAAUACAUGCAAGUCGAGCGAACAGACGAGGAGCUUGCUCCUCUGACGUUAGCGGCGGACGGGUGAGUAACACGUGGAUAACCUACCUAUAAGACUGGGAUAACUUCGGGAAACCGGAGCUAAUACCGGAUAAUAUAUUGAACCGCAUGGUUCAAUAGUGAAAGACGGUUUUGCUGUCACUUAUAGAUGGAUCCGCGCCGCAUUAGCUAGUUGGUAAGGUAACGGCUUACCAAGGCAACGAUGCGUAGCCGACCUGAGAGGGUGAUCGCCCACACUGGAACUGAGACACGGUCCAGACUCCUACGGGAGGCAGCAGUAGGGAAUCUUCCGCAAUGGGGGAAAGCCUGACGGAGCAACGCCGCGUGAGUGAUGAAGGUCUUCGGAUCGUAAAACUCUGUUAUUAGGGAAGAACAAAUGUGUAAGUAACUAUGCACGUCUUGACGGUACCUAAUCAGAAAGCCACGGCUAACUACGUG